UACGUAGGGGGCAAGCGUUGUCCGGAUUUAUUGGGCGUAAAGAGCGUGUAGGCGGCCAAGCAGGUCCGCUGUGAAAACUCGAGGCUCAACCUCGAGACGUCGGUGGAAACCGUUUGGCUAGAGUCCGGAAGAGGAGAGUGGAAUUCCCGGUGUAGCGGUGAAAUGCGCAGAUAUCAGGAAGAACACCCGUGGCGAAGGCGGCUCUCUGGGACGGUACUGACGCUGAGACGCGAAAGCGUGGGGAGCGAGCAGG
rnacentral:rRNA from 1 species